AUUGAACGCUGGCGGCAUGCUUUACACAUGCAAGUCGAACGGCAGCACGGGUGCUUGCACCUGGUGGCGAGUGGCGGACGGGUGAGUAAUACAUCGGAACGUGUCCAGAAGAGGGGGAUAACGCAUCGAAAGAUGUGCUAAUACCGCAUAUGCUCUGAGGAGGAAAGUGGGGGAUCGAAAGACCUUACGCUUUUGGAGCGGCCGAUGUCUGAUUAGCUAGUUGGUGGGGUAAGGGCCUACCAAGGCGACGAUCAGUAGUUGGUCUGAGAGGACGACCAGCCACACUGGGACUGAGACACGGCCCAGACUCCUACGGGAGGCAGCAGUGGGGAAUUUUGGACAAUGGGCGCAAGCCUGAUCCAGCAAUGCCGCGUGAGUGAAGAAGGCCUCGGUUGUAAACGUAC
rnacentral:rRNA from 1 species